UGCGUAGGUGGCAAGCGUUGUCCGGAUUUAUUGGGUUUAAAGGGUGCGUAGGCGGCUUUGUAAGUCAGUGGUGAAAUAUGGCAGCUUAACUGUCAGGGUGCCAUUGAUACUGCAGAGCUUGAGUACAGAUGAGGUAGGCGGAAUUGACGGUGUAGCGGUGAAAUGCUUAGAUAUCGUCAAGAACACCUAUAGCGAAGGCAGCUUACUAGGCUGUAACUGACGCUGAGGCACGAAAGUGUGGGGAUCAAACAGG
rnacentral:rRNA from 1 species